GAUGAACGCUGGCGGCGUGCCUAAUACAUGCAAGUCGAGCGAACAGACGAGGAGCUUGCUCCUCUGACGUUAGCGGCGGACGGGUGAGUAACACGUGGAUAACCUACCUAUAAGACUGGGAUAACUUCGGGAAACCGGAGCUAAUACCGGAUAAUAUAUUGAACCGCAUGGUUCAAUAGUGAAAGACGGUUUUGCUGUCACUUAUAGAUGGAUCCGCGCCGCAUUAGCUAGUUGGUAAGGUAACGGCUUACCAAGGCGACGAUGCGUAGCCGACCUGAGAGGGGGAGCGCCAACACGGGAGACGGGAAACGGACCAAGACCUACAGGGGGAGAAAGCGGGGAAGAUUCUCCAAAUGUGGGAAAACCACUGGGGGAAAAACGGGGGGGAAGUGAAGAAGGUUGGAGACUAAAAAACUGUUAUUAAAAAAGAAAAAAGAGUGAAUGAAAAACUCCGCGCUUGAAGGCGACUAAUAAGAAAAACACCGCGAAUCACGUU
rnacentral:rRNA from 1 species